GGCAGGGCCUGCCACGGGUCAGACCAUGUCCUGGAACCGCCCUCAGCCCCCCCACGGGGCGGGCCAACCUGAAGGCCUUGAAAACCUGAGCUGUGCUUGGGUCUGCACUGUGGUCUGCAGGAUACAGCUUCACUACAGCUGUCCCGGGCACCCACAAACCUCCCAGAGCCAUGGCCAGCAAGGGCUUGAAGGACCUGAAGCAGCAGGUGGAGGGGAUGGGCCAGGAAGGUGCCACUGCAGGCCAGCCAGUGGACCCCACUGAGGCUGGACAGAAAGGGCUGGGGGCUGCAGGGAGGAGGAGGGUCCUCUGCAGCAGGGCUUCCUGGGGAGGGAGCCGCCCCACCCCUGUCAACAGCAGGGACAGUCAGCAACGGCGCUGUCCUUACUCAUCACCCCUGCCUCCCCAGGCGCUGAGAAGCCCCAGGAAGCCACCGACAAGGCUGCCAACCAGGGCUCUGAUGGGGCCACGGGGAAGAAGUUCAGCCACCAGAAAUGAGGCCGCCCCUCCCGGCCCUGUUCAUGGAACUUGGCCCUGAU
rnacentral:lncRNA from 1 species